GAUGAACGCUGGCGGCGUGCCUAAUACAUGCAAGUCGAGCGAACGGACGAGAAGCUUGCUUCUCUGAUGUUAGCGGCGGACGGGUGAGUAACACGUGGAUAACCUACCUAUAAGACUGGGAUAACUUCGGGAAACCGGAGCUAAUACCGGAUAAUAUUUUGAACCGCAUGGUUCAAAAGUGAAAGACUGUCUUGCUGUCACUUAUAGAUGGAUCCGCGCUGCAUUAGCUAGUUGGUAAGGUAACGGCUUACCAAGGCAACGAUGCAUAGCCGACCUGAGAGGGUGAUCGGCCACACUGGAACUGAGACACGGUCCAGACUCCUACGGGAGGCAGCAGUAGGGAAUCUUCCGCAAUGGGCGAAAGCCUGACGGAGCAACGCCGCGUGAGUGAUGAAGGUCUUCGGAUCGUAAAACUCUGUUAUUAGGGAAGAACAUAUGUGUAAGUAACUGUGCACAUCUUGACGGUACCUAAUCAGAAAGCCACGGCUAACUACGUG
rnacentral:rRNA from 1 species